AGAGUUUGAUUCUGGCUCAGAAUGAACGCUGGCGGCAUGGAUUGGGCAUGCAAGUCGAACGGGUUCCCUUGGGAACUAGUGGCGUAAGGGUGAGUAACACGUGAGUAACCUGCCCCUGAAUCUGGAAUAAACCAGGGAAACUUGGUCUAAAACCGGAUGUCGGCACCGCACCUCCUGGUGCUUUGCUGAAAUAUUCAUAGUUCGGGGAUGGGCUCGCGUCCCAUUAGCUAGUUGGUAGGGUAACGGCUUACCAAGGCGAUGAUGGGUACGGGGCGUGAGAGCGUGACCCCGAUCACUGGGACUGAGACACUGCCCAGACGCCUACGGGCGGCUGCAGUCGAGAAUCUUCGGCAAUGGACGGAAGUCUGACCGAGCGACGCCGCGUGUAUGAUGAAGGUCUUCGGAUUGUAAAAUACUGUCGAUAGGGCGGAAAUUUAGGAGGGCUAUCCCUCUUAUUUGACCUAUCUUUUGAGGAAGGACGGGCUAAGUUCGUGCCAGCAGCCGCGGUAAGACGAACUGUUCUAACGUUAUUCGGAAUCACUGGGCUUAAAGGGCGCGUAGGCUGUUUGUUAAGCGGGGUCUGAAAUCCCUCGGCUCAACCGAGGAACUGGACUUCGAACUGGCAGACUAGAGUGAAGUAGGGGUAAGCGGAACUUGCGGUGGAGCGGUGAAAUGCUUUGAUAUCGCAAGGAACACCGGCGGCGAAGGCGGCUUACUGGGCUUCAACUGACGCUUAAGCGCGAAAGCUAGGGUAGCGAAAGGGAUUAGAUACCCCGGUAGUCCUAGCCGUAAACUCUGGGCGCUUGUUCGAGGGAGUUUUUUCUUUCUCGAGCGUAGCGAAAGUAUAAAGCGCUCCGCCUGGGGAGUAUGGUCGCAAGGCUGAAACUCAAAGGAAUUGACGGGGGCUCACACAAGCGGUGGAGGAUGUGGCUUAAUUCGAGGCUACGCGAAGAACCUUAUCCUAGGCUUGACAUGCAUGGAUACCCUCCCUGAAAGGGGAGUAAGUUGCUAGCAAUAGUGAAACUUGCACAGGUGCUGCAUGGCUGUCGUCAGCUCGUGUCGUGAGACGUCGGGUUAAGUCCCUUAACGAGCGAAACCCCUAUCGUUAGUUGCCAUCAUUUAGUUGGGCACUUUAGCGAGACUGCCUAAGUUAAUGCGGAGGAAGGCGGGGAGGACGUCAAGUCCUCAUGGCCCUUAUGCCUAGGGCUGCACACGUCCUACAAUGGAUUCCACAAAGGGAAGCGACACUGUGAAGUCGAGCAAAUCCCCAAAAAGGAUCCUCAGUUCGGAUUGUAGUCUGCAACUCGACUACAUGAAGCCGGAAUCGCUAGUAAUCGCGGGUCAGCAUACCGCGGUGAAUAAGGUCCUGAGCCUUGCACACACCGCCCGUCA
rnacentral:rRNA from 1 species